rnacentral:rRNA from 1 species
UGGGGAAUUUUGGACAAUGGGGGCAACCCUGAUCCAGCCAUGCCGCGUGAGUGAAGAAGGCCUUCGGGUUGUAAAGCUCUUUUGUCAGGGAAGAAACGGUAGUAGCGAAUAACUAUUACUAAUGACGGUACCUGAAGAAUAAGCACCGGCUAACUACGUGCCAGCAGCCGCGGUAAUACGUAGGGUGCAAGCGUUAAUCGGAAUUACUGGGCGUAAAGCGUGCGCAGGCGGUUGUGUAAGUCAGAUGUGAAAUCCCCGGGCUCAACCUGGGAAUUGCAUUUGAGACUGCACGGCUAGAGUGUGUCAGAGGGGGGUAGAAUUCCACGUGUAGCAGUGAAAUGCGUAGAUAUGUGGAGGAAUACCGAUGGCGAAGGCAGCCCCCUGGGAUAACACUGACGCUCAUGCACGAAAGCGUGGGGAGCAAACAGGAUUAGAUACCCCCGUAGUCCCUGAGCGGGCUGGCAAGGCGCAU